rnacentral:rRNA from 2 species
CCCUUCGGGGUGUGACUGCGUACCUUUUGUAUAAUGGGUCAGCGACUUAUAUUCUGUAGCAAGGUUAACCGUAUAGGGGAGCCGUAGGGAAACCGAGUCUUAACCGGGCGUUAAGUUGCAGGGUAUAGACCCGAAACCCGGUGAUCUAGCCAUGGGCAGGUUGAAGGUUGGGUAACACUAACUGGAGGACCGAACCGACUAAUGUUGAAAAAUUAGCGGAUGACCUGUGGCUGGGGGUGAAAGGCCAAUCAAACCGGGAGAUAGCUGGUUCUCCCCGAAAGCUAUUUAGGUAGCGCCUCGUGAAUUCAUCUCCGGGGGUAGAGCACUGUUUCGGCUAGGGGGCCAUCCCGGCUUACCAACCCGAUGCAAACUGCGAAUACCGGAGAAUGUUAUCACGGGAGACACACGGCGGGUGCUAACGUCCGUCGUGAAGAGGGAAACAACCCAGACCGCCAGCUAAGGUCCCAAAGUCAUGGUUAAGUGGGAAACGAUGUGGGAAGGCCCAGACAGCCAGGAUGUUGGCUUAGAAGCAGCCAUCAUUUAAAGAAAGCGUAAUAGCUCACUGGUCGAGUCGGCCUGCGCGGAAGAUGUAACGGGGCUAAACCAUGCAC